rnacentral:rRNA from 1 species
AUUGAACGCUGGCGGCAUGCCUUACACAUGCAAGUCGAACGGCAGCGGGGGAGAAGCUUGCUUUUCCUGCCGGCGAGUGGCGAACGGGAGAGUAAUACAUCGGAACGUGCCCUGUAGUGGGGGAUAAUUAGUCGAAAGAUUAGCUAAUACCGCAUACGACCUGAGGGUGAAAGUGGGGGACCGCAAGGCCUCAAGCUAUAGGAGCGGCCGAUGUCUGAUUAGCUAGUUGGUGGGGUAAAGGCCUACCAAGGCGACGAUCAGUAGCUGGUCUGAGAGGACGAUCAGCCACACUGGGACUGAGACACGGCCCAGACUCCUACGGGAGGCAGCAGUGGGGAAUUUUGGACAAUGGGCGAAAGCCUGAUCCAGCAAUGCCGCGUGUGUGAAGAAGGCCUUCGGGUUGUAAAGCACUUUUGUCCGGAAAGAAAUGGCUCUGGUUAAUACCUGGGGUCGAUGACGGUACCGGAAGAAUAAGGACCGGCUAACUACGUGCCAGCCGCCGCCGUAAAAC